UAUAAUUUUUAGGAUUUAAGGCCUUCAUUCUAUUUGGCAGUAGGAUCAGAGUGGGAAAAAAGCCUAUGAUUUUCUCUGUCAAUCAGCAGCAAGAGAGGAGAAAAAGAAAAGGAAAAACCUUUCCUUUCAUCACAAAGCAACAUUAUUGACUAAGAUUAGAUCUUUAUCACCAUAAAAACAAUGUCAAGACAGAAGCAAGGAGGUGAAGAAACCAUGAUGUCAAGCCUGAAUGAAACAAUUGAAAGAGAAGAGAGAGAAGAGUUGGAAAAAGAAGGUGGUGGUUCAGGUUCACAUUCCUCCUUGAAAAGUCUUCUCUGGCAUGGUGGUUCUGCUUAUGAUACUUGGUUCAACUGUGCCUCAAAUCAGGUAUAUACACAAAACAGUUUCAAUUCAUUUCAUAAUUGUUGAAACUAACUAACUAACUGGGAUUAUUCUCUUUGUUGUAGUUGGACUGCUUAUUUCAUAAGCAUUCUCUACAUUGAGUACAGAACCCGCAAGGAGAAAGAGAAUGUCAGCUUCAAAAACCAUGUCAUUCAGCUUGUAAACUUUCUCGCACCCCUAAUGUGAAUGACAUAAUGAAGAAUUAUUUUGAUUACAGAUUGAAGAAAUGUAGCUCGUAAGUUCACGCUGAAGCACCCACCAUUAA